CCUUUGGAAGCUGUGGUUAUGGGGGCAGGAAGUGGAAGGGGAGCCCCCAUUUGCAAUGGUAAUUUUUCUUUCCCUUUCCAUCCGGGCAGGCUUCAGAGAACUUUACCAG
rnacentral:miRNA from 1 species